GUGACGCCCGCUGUGUGUGUGUGUGUGUGUGUGUGUGUGUGUGUGUGUGUGUGUGUGUGUGUGUGUGUGUGUGUGUGUGUGUGUGUGUGUGUGUGUGUGUGUGUGUGUGUGUGUGUGUGUGUGUGUCAGUGUGCAGGUCCAGGACGAGGACGACACAUGUGGACGCAGAAAAGGUGGUGGUCGCCGUGCAGCAGUAUCGUUCCCGCUGGCCGAAGGAGCUGGACCUGAACCAGGGAGACCUGAUCCAGGUCCUCUACAAGGAGGACGCCACCUGGUGGUUCGGACGGCUCACAGACGGACACGAGGGAUAUUUUCCUGCAGAGUGGGUGGAGCCGCUGCAGCAGGGCGGAGCUUCAUCCAGAGCCACGCCCACAUUCCUGAGGAGAGGGUCGGUACCGACACCAGUCGCCCCCUGUGGCUGUACAAGUGGUCACAGGACUCCAAAGCUGCUCAGGAAAAACAGCAUCCGGUAUCCGCUGGGACUCGACGGGUCCUCCGGGGGGUCUGCGGCUCCGUCUCACGGUUCCCCGAGUCUCCUCCACCGAGUCCUCGCCAAGUCCAGGAGGAAGAGCUGCCCCCACCUUCCUCAACCCCAUCCAAACACGGGGUCCAUCAACACGGCAUUCCAGCCGGAUUAGACCGACCUUUACGAGUCGCGCCCUCAGAAUCAUCGAGUCCUCUAGUUUUUUCUUGGCUCAAAUUAUUUUUAAUUAAAUAUUAAACCUCGGGUUUGACCUUCCAGUCUGAGGAGACGUUCCAGUCCCUGUGGUCACAUCCCAGGGGGAGCUCGUGCACAGACAUACCCGGUUGUUCAGGUCAUGUCUGAGUCAAAUCCAACAGGUCAUGUUCUGGUCACAGAGGUCUUGUUUGAGUAAUGAGGUCCAAACUAAGUUAUCAAGAUCGAGUUUCUGGUGACCUCCAAGUCUCUGAUGUUUUCAUCUAAGCCUUGAGUCCUUACUAAUCAUAUAUAUACCACAGUAACCUGAGACAAGUCACAUAGAUCAUACAAGUCCCCCGUCAGAGUGAAGUCUCAUAUACUUCAGAUCAAGUUCCAGUCAUGG